AAUGGGGAGUUGUCGCCGGCAAAGUAGCCCCCGCCGACGGCUCCUUCCCGGGGGCGGGCCAAAAGCCCGUCCCUUGAAAUCAAGGCAUGAUGCGAUUUUCAGCAUCAUGCAGGGAUGCUUUCGAUGGAAAACGCCCCCCUCCGUCGAAAGCGGCGCGAUCGCACUCCAGUCGGUCGUGCAAUGCGGGCGGCGAAGUCCCCCAGCUUCGCCGCCCGUUCUC
rnacentral:sRNA from 1 species